rnacentral:rRNA from 1 species
UAGGGAAUUUUCCGCAAUGGGCGAAAGCCUGACGGAGCAACGCCGCGUGCAGGAGGAAGGCCUUCGGGUUGUAAACUGCUUUUAUCUGUGACGAUUAUGACGGUAGCAGAAGAAUAAGGAUCGGCUAAUUCCGUGCCAGCAGCCGCGGUCAUACGGAAGAUCCGAGCGUUAUCCGGAAUUACUGGGCGUAAAGAGUUGCGUAGGUGGCAUGUAAAGCGAGCAGUGAAAGAUCCCGGCUCAACCGGGGGCCCAUUGUUCGAACUCACAAGCUAGAGCAUGAGAGAGGUAGAUGGAAUUUCUAGUGUAGGAGUGAAAUCCGUAGAUAUUAGAAGGAACACCGAUGGCGUAGGCAGUCUACUGGCUCAUUGCUGACACUAAGGCACGAAAGCGUGGGGAGCGAACGGGAUUAGAUACCCCCGUAGUCC